rnacentral:rRNA from 1 species
UGGGGGAUAUUGCACAAUGGGCGAAAGCCUGAUGCAGCGACGCCGCGUGGGGGAUGAAGGCUUUCGGGUUGUAAACCUCUUUCGCUAUCGAACAAGGCCCGCUUAGGGUGGGGUGAGGGUAGGUGGAGAAGAAGCGCCGGCUAACUACGUGCCAGCAGCCGCGGUAAUACGUAGGGGGCGAGCGUUGUCCGGAAUUACUGGGCGUAAAGGGUUCGCAGGCGGCAUGACAAGUCCGAUGUAAAAGGCGAAAGCUCAACUUUCGUAAGCAUCGGAAACUGUCAAGCUUGAGUGAAGGAGAGGCAAGUGGAAUUCCUAGUGUAGCGGUGGAAUGCGUAGAUAUUAGGAGGAAUACCGGUGGCGAAGGCGACUUGCUGGACUUCAACUGACGCUGAGGAACGAAAGCGUGGGUAGCAAACAGG